GGCGAAAAUCCAAGGGAGGCUGUUUUCUCUGCUGAAUUAAAACUACAACCUCUGGGCAGAUCAAGGAGAUGUUGGAAGGAUGUGGCUUGAACCAGUUGUCUUCAGCUGCAUUUUCUGAGCAGGCUUUGUUGGAAGUCUUCUACUCCAAGCAUCCAUUCUAGUGCCGGAGUACCAUCAUCUUCAAGAGGGGCUCCCAAAGCAGCCCAGGUUCUCCCACCCAAAUGGCAGAAGAUGAGGGCAGAGUCAGGUAGGGGGCUCUUGAGGCCAGUUUGCAGUGCAGAGCCUGGGAAAGGCACCCAGGAGUGUCGAGGGGCCUCUCUGUCUGCUGGGCUUCCGUCUUCCUAUUUCAGGAACUCAGUACUAGAGGUGGCUAUCUGGCCAUCCUGUUUGGGAUGACACUCCUCCUUUAUGACCUUCUCCGAUUACUUCUCUCCUUUUUCUGUUCUCUCUCUAUGGCAUCUGCCUGCUAUUGAACCCUCCUGUGUUGGAGAAAGGCUGAUUGUUCAGUCUCUGAGGCCUUAGGAGCAUCCCCUUGGGAUCCAGAGAUGAGGGCUGUCAGAGAAGGGGGAUGUGGGCACCUCCUCCUGUGAGACUCUAGACUAGGAGAGACUGCAUGGCUAUCAGCCCCUACCUGAGUAGGAGUAACCACAUCACCCGAGAACUGGUUAGAAAUGCAAACAUUCAGUCCUGGUCCAGAUCACAGAGGCAGAUACUCAGUCCAGAAAGGUUAGUAACUUGCCCAAAGACACAAAGCAAAAGUGUUGGUCCACUGAGCACCCACCUCAGAGACAGAUCCCAAACAGGGUGCAGAUAGAAAAGUAUUUCUCACUGCCACCUAGUGCCAAGAAGGAAGAACAGUCCCACGUCUGGGUUCUGGGAUCUGAGUAGAGGCUGCAGAGGCAAGACAUGGAUUAGGCAUGCUAUUCUCACCUCCUUCGUAAAGUUAGUCUGUUUGGACCUGUCAAUCAUCUGGCCAGGAGUCCACCUGCUCCCCCCUCCAUUCAGGAAAGCUGACUGACCUAAAGUCAUGCUAAGAAGAUGGGCACAAUAACCACGCCCUUAAAUUCACAGAAUGUCGUCUCACGGCCUCCUUGCAGGGAUUACAACUGCAGCCAUUUGCAGGGCUUGCACAAGGCUUGUCUGAUUUGAGUCUUAAUUCAGAAAGUGGGGCUUUCUGUUUUCUGUCUUUCCCAGACGCUCUGGACUUCCUGGCUGGUUCUUUGCAGCCCUCCUCCCCUCUGCCACGCAGCUGCUAACCGACCUCCAUUUCUAAUCUCCUCUCUUCUCGGUCUCUUCCCAGCAGCUGCCAGGACUUACAGCUGGCCAACCCUGUUGUUUGUCUCUAAUAAAAUUGUUCUCAUGUUUUCUGGGUCA